rnacentral:rRNA from 1 species
GACGAACGCUGGCGGCGUGCCUAAUACAUGCAAGUCGAGCGGACAGAAGGGAGCUUGCUCCCGGAAGUUAGCGGCGGACGGGUGAGUAACACGUGGGCAACCUACCCUGUAGAUCGGGAUAACAUCGAGGAAUCGGUGCUAAUACCGGAUAAUCAUUUGAAGUGCAUGCUUCGAAUGUAAAAGAUGGCUCCGGCUAUCACUACGGGAUGGGCCCGCGGCGCAUUAGCUAGUUGGUAAGGUAAUGGCUUACCAAGGCAACGAUGCGUAGCCGACCUGGGACGGUGAUCGGCCACACUGGGACUGAGACACGGCCCAGACUCCUACGGGAGGCAGCAGUAGGGAAUCUUCCGCAAUGGACGAAAGUCUGACGGAGCAACGCCGCGUGAGUGAUGAAGGUUUUCGGAUCGUAAAGCUCUGUUGUUAGGGAAGAACAAGUGCCGUUUGAAUAAGGCGGCACCUUGACGGUACCUAACCAGAAAGCCACGGCUAACUACGUGCCAGCCGCCGCCGUAACAC